GCAAUGGUAAGACAUUUUUAAGACUCUAACCUUCGUAAGAAGGUAUGAUGUAUACGAACUGAACGACCGGGCUUCACAACAAAAACAUGGCCACAUGAGUUGGAUUAUUCCGGUAAAAUUUAAAUCAGACAACAUUAUCAAUUGCAACAUUACAACAUUGUCAACAAUUCUAUCUGAGAGAACAUUACAGCAAUGGCUUCCAGUAAUUCAAGCCAGAAGAAACCUUUCCAGCGGUGUUGUCCCAUCUGCAGUAAUGUCAUUAGUGUUCGUCGACAUUUCUGCAACUGUGGACACAGCUUUAUAGAUGAAAAGCGUAAGGGUGAUGUAGAGCGGGAGGAGAAAUAUAAGGAAAUGGGUCGAAGAGCUGCUAAGCAU